UCGCAGGGCAGACUGACAUACUUCCAGAUUCAGCUAAGGAAGAAGCAUAACUCCUAUUCACCAUGAAAACUAUCAGCGUUGCCCUGUUGGCGUUGGUGGCCCUUUUUGCCCUGAUGGAGGUCACUGGAGCCCUGCCAGCACCCGAGCCUAACCGACGCUUCUUCUUUGGAGGCAGUCCCUACGGCUUCGGCGGUUACGGCUAUAGACCCUUCGGAUACGGCUUCGGCUACGGCGGAUACGGCGGAAGCUUUGGAAGCUUUGGCGGUGGAUUUGGUGGAUACAGUGGUGGUUUCUUCGGUUGAUAAACAUCUUGUCUUCCAUGAAGAUACUGGAAGUUAGAAUAUUAAUGACUGUCAUGAAAUAUUUUUUGUUUGGAAAUUGGAAGACUGACAGCUUUAUGUAAAUGAGAGAUGAUGUGUAUAUUUUUCUAAAAAUAAUAAUAAAUUUUCUACCUCUUAAAAUAA